UUGGUUCGAUGAUCGCGAAGACGGAGGAGGUAUGUGAGCUGCUUCCUCCAGUAUUGCCUUGUGGUUUGAGGGUGGGAGCUGACGGAACCAAUCAGAGGGACGAGGAGGGUGAUCAUUUGCCCCUGUAUGCCAACGAGGUCCUUCGCAUGUUGAUUUCGAUCUGGAACGCAUUGAUCCAUCGAAAAUCCAAAUGCAUAUUGUUUUGAAUCCGAGGCCUAUAAUGACGUGCGCGUACAUAAUAAUCUCUCGGUCCUUCGCGACCCGGCGACGCAACCGGGAAUCCAAAGACGCGGAGGAGGAGGAAUAGAGAGCGCGAUGGGUCUGCAGGUCGAUUUUGAAGAAUAUGCUGCAAAAGCUAAAACUUUACCUGUAAAUACUACUAACAAGAGCAAAUUGAUCCUGUAUGGGCUUUACUAGCAAGCAACUGUCGGACCUGUGAAUACUAGUUGACCUGGUAUAUUCAAUAUGAGGGAUCGAGCCAAAUGGGAAGCUUGGAAGGCUGUUAAAGGGGAGGAAGCCAAAGGAGGAGGCUAUGAGUGACUACCUCACCAAGGUUAAACAGCUGCUCGAGACAGCUGCUACUGUUGCUUAUGCUAAUUUGUCACACCUUGCUCUAUGUAGUACCAUGGUGUCCUCGAUAUCGAAGUAAAGAUCAUGCUGGACUAGGAUCCUAAAAGAAAGCAGGGCACCAUGACUCCUUUGCCAGAUCAUUUUACAAUUCAUGCCCCAAAGGAGGAAGAGGAGUUACACUCCAGAAGAAUUUGAAUGCUACAACCUUUGCAGAAGGAAUUAGGAUUACAUUUCUUCUUCAUAAGCUUCCUUCCGGCAUGUAACAAGACAAAGUUCUUCUGAUUUAUGUGCUUGAACUAGUCGUAGAUUAACAUGAAGGAAGAUUGGGAGUCCUUAGGCCCAUAUCUUAGUUUGUUCCAAUCUUUUCAGGAGUGUUAUUUGUUCUUAUCAUUUGUUUUGAAAACCGACGUGGUUACUCCCAUAAAUUUUUAUUGUUUUGUAGACUUGAUGUUAGUUAUUUGAAUUCGUAUGUAACACUUCCAAAGCUGGAAUAGUAGACUCAGAUUGGUUGUUUAAAUUCAUUCAAAAUUCUGAAUAUAUAAUUUAGAUGUAAUUUGACAA